rnacentral:lncRNA from 1 species
UUUUGGAGAAUUUAGACGCGUUGAGAGGAGUCGUGAUAAUGGUUGCCUUCACUCCAUGUCUAGCAAAUUGCCUGGCUAUAUCUACUAGUGGUAUCAUGUGGCCAGGAGCCAUCAUAGGCAGAAAGUAUAUGUGAAGUUGAUCGCUUCUUUUAUCCAUGGUAGCCAGGGAAUAGAUAAGAAAAAACAGCUGAUGAACUAAAAAAGAACAGGAGAUAAAAGAAAGUAGAAGGUGUUGUAUAUCUAUUCGUCUUUGCUCGUCAUGGUUUUAUAGAUAAACAAGGAUUCUGAUUUUGCUAAUGACUUCAUGGGGAGCAUUACUUUUCUAUGGUAUAUAAGGUGCCAUUGCUGACUUUUUGUACUUUGAAAAAUUCUAAUUUGAGUUCAAGACAAGUUAACUAGACCUGUUGUUAUCAUUGCUGACUCUUUCCUACAAUUAAAUAUGAGUGAUGUGCAAGAAAAGUAAAAAUUCUGUAGUUUAUAUGAUUUUUUUAUGUCUAGAUGGGAUUGAUCUUUGGCUUAGAGUGAUGGGUUUGAAUUGUUUAUUAAAACUUGGACAGAUGUAUAGUUGACUUGUUGCACAGACUUGAUUGGAUCAAAUUAGACAUUGUAAAAUAAUUGUACCAAACACACCAUUACACUGACUCACUCCAUGGACAAAAUCUUAAUGGGAGCAUCACUACCAAAUAAACUUUGUAGUGCGUGGUCCAGAUUUAGACGGGUUCCAAUGCAUGCUCUAGAUACUGGGUAAAAAAAAAACUCGCUCCAUGCACCAAACUGUUUUAAUUUAUCAUUAAGUAAAAUGAAAAAUAAUAAUUAUUAUAUAUAUAUAUCAUUUAACUAUAAGUAAGUGUCAGUUUUAUAUGAAGGCUUAAAAAUUCUUUAACCACUCAUCAAGACUAGCAAACAAGAAGUUUAUUGUAGUCUCACUGGGUAAGACUUUUGAAGAUGACAGUUUUGGACAGGAGAAUUGGUUUCGUAGUUCAUUUAUAAUAUUUAUUUUUCUAGUUUUAUUAUGUUUUUUUACAAGAAAAAAAUAUUAUUUUUACAUAUAAAAUCUAAAAAAAGUUAUUUUCUUAUAUUUAUUUGUAAAUGGACAGGAGAUCUUUGUGUUUGACAUGUGCCAUGGCCCAUUCACUUGGAUGCGUGGCUAAGCUAGAGAUCCAGAACUUGGCCCAUAGUUCCAUUGGCCUAGUCUGCAAUCUACCCAACAUUGGUGUAGAAUUUGUUCGCUUAAGUUGGGCCAAGAUGCACACCGAACCAGCCAUUCUUCUGCGAGCUCAGGUACCAAAUUCUUAUGAGAAGUCGUUGGCCCUUUUCCCUCCUAUUAUGAUUUGAGCAACUUUCACAUAUAGCAAACAUAAAAAUCAUAUUUGUAUGUUAUAGCUAUAGUUUGCAUAAUUGCGCUUCAUAGCAAAUUUUAUGUUUACUAUGGAGCUUUUGAUUUGUAUAAUUCGCUAGAUACAUUCAAUUUUAUACAAAUUAUUCAGUUUUGUAUAAAUUCAUUUAUACAUUGUAAUUUGUAUAAUAAGAUCUGUAUUUGUAUAAUUAUAAGUGUAUAUGACGAAAAUAUAUGCAUUUGUAUAUGCACUUUUCUCUCGCUUUACACAAAUACAAACGCUUUUUAUACAUUUGUAUAUCGAAUGGAUAAUUGUAUACCGAAAAUGACUAAGUGUAUACAGAACCAGAUGACAAAAAAAUGGGAUGUUUGCUGCAAAUUAUAAAUAAAAUAAACUAUGGUUAUAACAUUUAAUUUGAAUUAAUAGUUUGUUAUUUCAUACAAUUUUUCCAUUAUGAUUUAAAAAGAGAAACUUUCACAUAUAGCCACUCAAAAAUAGCCUAAUUACUCUCCAUAGCUAUAGUUUGAUAAUUACAAUUUGUAACUACAUGUUAAAGGGAGGAGAGAGGCUAGUGAGACUGGGAGAGAGAGGAGAGAGGCGAGCGAGANNNNNNNNNNNNNNNNNNNNNNNNNNNNNNNNNNNNNNNNNNNNNNNNNNNNNNNNNNNNNNNNNNNNNNNNNNNNNNNNNNNNNNNNNNNNNNNNNNNNNNNNNNNNNNNNNNNNNNNNNNNNNNNNNNNNNNNNNNNNNNNNNNNNNNNNNNNNNNNNNNNNNNNNNNNNNNNNNNNNNNNNNNNNNNNNNNNNNNNNNNNNNNNNNNNNNNNNNNNNNNNNNNNNNNNNNNNNNNNNNNNNNNNNNNNNNNNNNNNNNNNNNNNNNNNNNNNNNNNNNNNNNNNNNNNNNNNNNNNNNNNNNNNNNNNNNNNNNNNNNNNNNNNNNNNNNNNNNNUAAUAGAGAGGUGAAUUGUAUAUGUAUAUUGGUUAGAUAAUUGUAUAUUAUACAUAUGUAUUUAUAUAUAUGACAAGCGAGAUUGGGAGAGGGAAGAGAGAGGCAAGCGAGAGAGGGCAGCGAGUGCGAGAGAAGUGAAUUGUAUAUGUAUAUUGGUUAGAUAAUUGUAUAUUAUACAUAUGCAUUUGUAUAUAUGGCAAGCGAGAUUGGGAGAUGGAGGACACAGACGAGCAAGAUUGUGAGAGGGAGGAGAGGGCGAGCGAAUACGAGAGAGGUGAAUUGUAUAUGUAUAUCGGUUAGAUAAUUGUAUAUUAUACAUAUGCAUUUGUAUAUAUGGCAAGCGAGAUUGGGAGAGGGAGGAAACAGGCGAGCGAGUGCGAGAGAGGUGAAUUGUAUAUGUAUAUCGGUUAGAUAAUUGUAUAUUAUACAUAUGCAUUUGUAUAUAUGGCAAGCGAGAUUGGGAGACGGAGGAGACAGGCGAGCGAGAUUGAGAGAGGGAAGAGACAGGCGAGCGAGAUUGGGAGAGGGAAGAGACAGGCGAGCGAAAUUGGGAGAGGGAUGAGACAGGGGAGCGAGUGUGAGAGAGGUGAAUUAUAUAUGUUUAUCGAUUAGAUAAUUAUAUAUUAUACAUAUGCAUUUGUAUAUAUGGCAAGCAAGAUUGAGAAAGGAGGAGAGAGGCGAGCGAGAGUGGGAGAGAGAUGAAUUGUAUAUGUAUAUCAGUUAGUUAAUUGUAUAUUAUAAAAAUGUAUUUGUAUAUUAUGGCGAAUAAAACAUAUACAAACGUGACUAAUUAUACAAAUUCAAAGUCAGCCCACGUAAUUAAUGUGUAAUCACUACAAAAAAUGAAAUCAACUGGAUAUAAGAAAUUAAGUAUUCCAGUCUACAAGGAGCUAAGUCAUCCGAAUGACGUCGGCAGGAAGUCAAGGCUAUCCAGCCCACACGGAUCAUAAGUCUAAGGCAAUGCUAGCCUAACCUAAACUAAGGACAUCAUGCUUACGGUUAAAGAUGAACAAGCAUACAACACUUAGCAUACAAGCGUACAAUAGCAUUUAGCAUAUAAGCAUGCAACUCUACUAAAUCGGUUAACAAUGAUACUAUACCCAAAAUAUGGUCAAUCGAUCCUAACAUGAGGUAUCUAAUCAAAAUACGGUAGGAAACUAGUACCCACCACCAAUUCACUCCAAUCGACAUGCUUUUACACAAUUAAGCUCAAUCUUAAAAGACAGGAAGUCGUAGCCUACCUUAAGGCCGAUCACGCGCUCUCCAAAUCACUUUUCUGGAGCUUUCACUAUUCGAACGGCCUCGAAACGCUGCCCCGCUAUCAAAAAUAGAGUCACAACGUUAGUACGGUUGUUUAGACACCAAAAUCACCACAAAUGGAGAUGUGUUAAUUUUGGAUUCAAAAUGAGAAUCGUGGGACCCGCACCGAACUGUGCGAAUUUGACUUCGUCAAGAGACCCUAAAUGGCACCCCAAACUUGUGUUCCAUUUUGGAACACAAUUCGGGGUUCAAAACACAGCAAAAACCAACAAGCAAGAAAACCACACUUUAAUCAACUAAAAGAAAACCUACAACAGUCUAAACUCGAAAUCUACAAGGAUCUAAUGGUGCCCAGCACUCCUUGAACACUCUACGAUGAAGUCACGACAUUUCUCAACACGAGGGACUUCGAAUCACCCAAAACUGAGCUAAAAUGAAAGAGAUAUGACCAAAACAAGAAUACAAAAAACAAAGGCUAAAAAAAGGUACUGCAGUCAGGUUAAUCGCAAAAUUACCUCGAACUGCACCUACCCAAUAACUUUCGAACACUCUACGGCAAAGCCACCAAAAAUACGAAGCUCCCACACUUCGAAUCGCCUAAUUCGGAUAAAAGAUGAGAGAGUUAUGAGGGUUUUAAGGUUUGGAAAAUGUUGCUGUUUUUCUCCAUUUAUAGCAGAUUUUCUGCAAUUUUCUAAAAACUAAAAACUCCAACGGGGUGCUCCGCAUUCGUUCAGAACCUCGUGCACACAAACGAGAUAUGCAACCAUACCAAAUUCGAUAUUCCGGACUCAAUGACGCAGUCAAAAUUUCCAUACGACGUCAUCUUGAUAAAAAGUGGGUCCCACACCCAAAUGUCAUUUUAAGUCAAAAAUCACAAAAGGGCUCGAAAAAAUAUCGAAAACCUUGGGACACAAAAGAAGGGUCAAUUUAGACCAAACUCAACAUUCCGGAGCUAACCGCACUGACGGAAUUCUCAUCCGAGCACGUUUACUCAGAAUGUUGAAUAAAGUCAAAACUUAGGCUUAAACUUAAAGUUAAAACGCCUAAUCGCACCAACUCACACUGAAAUCUCGGGAGUCAAGCCGACCAUGCUAUUAGCCUAAAAUGACCCUUCCGGAGACUGAUGGAAUCGUCAGAAUUGGAUUCCGAUAUCAUCUCUUGAACUUUUAAUCGACAAUGAUCGUUCAAGGUUCAUAAGCUCUAAAACACAAAAACUCGCACUAAGACCAAACGAACGACCAGGUGACGAACUGUCAGUCCCAGCAAGUCAUAAAUGACUUGGGGUCGCUACAGGAACGCUCUAAGCGACACACAGAAGGCAAGACACAGAAAUGACCAGGAGGGUCAUUACAACUCAUCAGUCAUGACCCGAGUCUACACCCUAGACGUGGCCGGCACUCAAGAACAAUUACUGGUCCCCAAGCGAACCCUCAUCCUGGUUGACUGCAAGCGGAAGACUAACUUAAGCAUGCAAAAGCUUAAAACUGAAAUAAAAUUCAAUCAAAAUCAAGUUUACAAAACUUUAACUCAAAUGAACAACUUAGAAUAAAAUAAUAUAUUCAAUUCGCCAUAAAAUAGGCAACUUAAGUCUUUAAAACAUUUAAUAAAAUAAAUGGAUAAAUAAUACAGAAUUCUCAACUAUACUGACUAUAUAUGAAUCAUCUACCUGAUAAAGAUGGAAGUCGGGACAAGACCCACGACAUCCUGACUAAACUGAAAAAUGAAUGAAAUCCUCCGAAAACAAGGAGGCUCACCAUAGCUAACUCGAACUUCCGAAUGUAUCAACGAAGCUCAUGUUGAUCACCCUGAAUACCUGUGUCUGCAUCAUGAGAAGAUGCAGGCCAAAUGGCUCAGUACGUGGAAUGUACGAGCAUGUAAGAGGAAUUCUAAAGCAUAAACAUAAUCUUGAAACUUGAUAAAAAGGAAACAUACUUACCUCUUCUCAAACUUACUCAACUCAAGAUAUACUCAAGGAUACUCAAAACUACUCAAACUUACUCGACUCAGAAUUUCUCAAGGAUAAGAUACUUUACUCAAAGAUAUGAUACUCAACUCAAAGAUAUGAUAUUCGACUCUGGGUACUCAACUCUGGAUACUCAACUCAAUAUGACUGAACUCAUUUCAAUAUAAAGCAAUUUAAAACAAGUGCAAUAUAAAGAAACAAACGGUUUAAAACAUGGUUUUUCAACUCUGUGUAUUUCUAAAUACAGUGAUAACUCUAUAUGUAUGAAACGAUACAAUAUGAACUCUGAGAUGUAUGUAAAAAUACAAAAUAAACUGAUGUACAUAAAAUACAAUAACUUCUGUGGGAGUUUCUCUAACCGACAACAAUCACAUAAGAGCUAUUGUGAUGAUACAUCGAUCUUCCUCACGCUACCAGCGCAUCCUAUACCCGGUCAAAGGUAUAGGACCUGAACUAUUAAGUGGAUUCACUAGUCUAUUGUGAAAAAGAUUCAUCUAAAAAGUAUGACCAUUUUCUACCCAUGGUUUAUGGGGGUUGUGAGUUGUCUGAACUCUCACCCAUAUCGGUGCUCAAUAUUACUCCCAAAAAUAUACUAGCUCUUAUGUUUUAAAAACAUACUUCUUUCUGCUGAUUUAAGAUAAUUGCUCAAAAACUUAGCUCAAAGGCUAUCUUGGAAAUCUCAGUUUCCUCUUUUGCUUCAUUUAGAAAGCAAUUACUCUUUUCUGAAAACUUUCCUGAAGGGCCUUUGGAAAUCUCAGUUUCCGUUCUUAUUUAAAUAUGAAAACAUUUAUAAACUCUUUGGGAAUACUUAGUCCCCAUAUACUUUUGAAGAAAAAGACUUCAAACUUUACUCUUUACUCUUUACUGAACUCAAAACUUUAAGUCUUAAAACAAAGUUUAAACAUUUGUAAAAAUACUUCUUAAGAUAUGGUUCAUGCCGAAUUAUGGAUAUGAACGACUCAAUGCAAGGUUUUCAAUAACCAUAGAUAGAACUUAAUACUUGGAACUCAAGAACUUCAAUGAUACUACUCAUUUCAAGAUUUUUUGACUUAUAGUGUUCAUACAGAAUUAUGGGCAUGAAAUAUUCAACUCAAGUACUCAAAGAUGCUUCUCAAAAGGGAUUAGGAACUCAACACUUAAAGGCUUAGAACUUAAAGAUACCACUUCUCUGAAAGAUGCUCAACUUACGAAGUUCAUGCGAAAUUAUGGCAUGAAACAACUCGACUCGAUGAUCUACAUAACUAUAUGGAACUCAUGUAUACGACUCUUCUUAUUCUCUAACUUACUUCCUCAAAACUUAGUUCAAAUCGAUACUUGAUCUCAAAGGAUUCACAAUUGAACUCAAAGGCUUUCUUGAACUCUAAUUUUAACUCUCUCUUGAAUGUGAAUUAUGAAUUCAAGGUUAUUAUCAUGUUAGGAAUGAUUUUAGGUGUUUAGAAGUAGCUUAGAGUAGUUAGAAUCGAAAAUGAGUGAAGGUGCACUUUAAACAAACUCAAACGGGGCAACCGACGACAAACUGGAUGGGGCAGGCGACCCUGGCGCUAUGGGUGGCGUGGGGUGCCAGCCCCUAAACUUCAGAGGAGGGUUUGGGGCGCUCUGCCAGGCGCAUCGCGCCAAGCCCCAACCCAGAAAACUUCGAUGACUUUGUUUGCUCGUUUUCUCACCCUAACUCGCCUAGAAUCGAACGGUUUCUUCCCCAAUUACUUAACAUAAGUACACUCUAAUCUACUCAAUACAUCCCUUAAAACACUCACUUUGAUCUCAAGAAAUCAUCCAAAAUCCAACACAACAAGAUUUAGAAUGAACUUCAAGAACUCUAAUCUUCCAACUUCAAGAAUGAAAUUUCGCUGAAAAUAAUAUGAUUGGCGUGUGGGUGAACAAACCCAACUCUAGAGAAGCUUACAUACCUCUUAGGGAUUAAACCCAUGGCAAAAAUCCGUCUUCUUUUCUCUUCUUGAACUCCCACCUAAAACCCUAGGCUAAUUUUAGGAUUAUAAAACUGAACGCAACAAAACGCAAGACUCUCGACGAAUGCUUUGAUCAUCUCCUAUUUUCUCCUUUUUUUCUCUUCUUUUCUCUUCUUGAACUCCCACCUAAACCCUAGGCUAAUUUUAGGAUUAUAAAACUGAACCUAAUAGUAUUAGACCCUUAAAACCUUACUAAAAAAUAAAUUAAAUCUGAUUGGGUAAGGAAAAGACCAAAAUACCCCUUACUAUUUUCGGCUAACUUUCCUUAACUGGACAACCUAACUUCAAAAUGUCAUAUCUCACUCAUCCGAACUCGAAACUUAGCAAACUUGGUGGCGUUGGAAAGAUAAUUCAAAGAUAUUUCCUACGGUAUCUUGUAGCACACCUAAAUCAUCAAGUGCUAGGAGUUAUGAUCGUUUGAAGUCGACCCAAAACUCAUACUUAGCUUAACUUGCAAAAUUUCAGAUUUUGCUAUUUCCAAUUUAGUUCUUUUUGGAACUCGAGGUGCUAUAUCUAGUGGCCUUAAAACUUAUGAAAUUUUAAAUUCCUUAAUAAAAUCCUACUCACAACGAAGGACGGUUCGAGUCUUAGCUCAAAUUUUUUUCUGGGGUGUUACAGGAGCCAUCAUAGGCAGAAAGUAUAUGUGAAGUUGAUCACUUCUUUUAUCCAUGGUAGCCAGGGAAUAGAUAAGAAAAAACAGUUGAUGAACUAAAAAAGAACAGGAGAUAAAAGAAAGUAGAAGGUGUUGUAUAUCUAUUCGUCUUUGCUCGUCAUGGUUUUAUAGAUAAACAAGGAUUCUGAUUUUGCUAAUGACUUCAUGGGAGCAUUACUUUUCUAUGGUAGAUAAGGUGCCAUUGCUGACUUUUUGUACUUUGAAAAUUCAAAUUUGAGUUCAAGACAAGUAAACUAGACCUGUUGUUAUCAUAUUUUUAUGUCUAGGAUUUGUUUCUCUAUGUUUUCGUCAAAAAAAAAAUACAAACUUCUAAACUCUCAAGGAAAUCAAACUAUACCUGUUUGGCCAUAGAUUUCCCAAGUAAUAUUUGGAGAAAAAGUUGGCAAAUAGUGUUUGUCCAUACAAUUUUUCAUUAUUUGGCAAAUAAUAUUAGCAAAUAUCCAAAUACUAGCCUUUUCUAGUAUUUGGGCCAAAUCUCAUUAUUUGGGAUCUUUUGAAUAUUGAAAUUUUACACCAAACUUUUAUUUUUUACAAAAACACCCUCUAUAGUAGUUGUUUGCAUUGUAUUACAUUUUUUUUUUACGUGAAUACCAAAGUAUUCAAUGAAUAUGAAAGUAAUGAUAUAGUUGUUGAUGAAAAUGAUGAACAAUCGACUCAAGAUAAUAAAGUCAUGUGCUUUGUCUACUUCACGAUGUAUGGAAUGAUGCUUGUUACACUCACUCCAAACUACCACAUUGCUCCAGUGUCAUAGACACUACUUGUCAUUUGUUGCAACGAAGAUCCAAUUGACUUGUAAUACAAACUUAUGGUUAGUUUUGAUCGUUUUUAAAACUUAUGGGUAUAAAUCAUAUUUUUCUACAAAAGUGAAAUAUGUUUUCCAAAUAUUAUGGCCAAACACACCCAAAUUUUCACCCAAAUAAUAUUUGUCAAUCUAUGGCCAAACGCUAGCAUUAUAUAGCAAAGAAAGUCCAAAUUGUCUUAACACAUAAAUGAUGUAACAAUAAUACAUUUAAACAAAUUCCCAUGAGUUGGAGUUGCUCUUCCCCAUCCUCAAUUCUUCUAGUAAGGAAAUCAAGCUAUUGUCAGAUGAUCCGCCUUUCUCUACAGCCAUUUUAGCCGAAUUUCCUAAAGCAUCGGCACGGCCUCGCAUCUCCUCUGCUUCCGGACCAACCAUUAGUUUGGUCACUGCUCUUUGUAUGUUUUCCCUGUUAAUUGGGACUCUGCUGUCUGUUCUUUGAGACCAAGCCUGAACACCUACUGGUACUCCUAUCUUUAAUAUCUCUACUAGUAGCUUUUCAUUAAAAAAUUGCUCAACUGAUAGCGGCCAUGUGACCAUUGGCACUCCGGCACUUACUCCUUCGAGCAAUGAGUUCCAUCCACAAUGAGUCACGAAACCUCCAGUAGCUUCAUGAUCAAGGAUAAGCACCUGAGGUGCCCAUCCUUUUAUUAUCAAACCUCGUCCGUUCAGCUUUUCUUCAAAUCCUUCUGGCAUCCACUCUUCAUUUGUUGUAUUUUGCCUCACCACCCAUAUAAAUUGUUGGUCUGAUGCUUCGAGAGCGGUUGCUAUCUCAAACAACUGAUCUGAUGAAAAGAUGGACAUGCUUCCGAAACAUAUAUAAAUGACUGAUUUUGGUUCCUUGGUAUUGAGCCAAUCCAAACACUUUUGCUCAGAAAGGGAACUGUCUUGGCCUCUUUGUGAUUUAUCUUCAUUGUCUUUAUUGCAGAGCGAAACAGGACCAACGUUCCACACUUUUCUCCCUACUACUUCCCUGAAGUAUUGAACAUAAUUUGGUUCUAGCUCAUAAAAGCUGUUUACAAUAGCUCCAUAACUAGUCGUUUCUGCUCGCAUAAAAUCUUUAACUAUUGGAGUCAUUGGGGUUUCUUUUUCAUCCUUCAAGUGUUCUGAAAGCUUUUGUCUUGACAUCUUUAUUGUGUCAGGAAGGCCAGGGAUGAUAAACUCUUCCGUCUCGGAUUCAACCUUCAAAUGAGGUUUGUGUUCCAUCAAACAGUGAUAAGCACACAUGGGAAGUAAACCAGUGCCAUUAAAAGCUAGUCUUGGAAUUCCCAACUUGGUUGCAACAUCAACAGCCCAUGGGAAUAAAGUUCCUGCUAUUAGACAAUCUGGAUGAUCUUCCUCCAUGAACUUUUCAACUGGCUGUUGAAACAAGUACAAGGCUUUGAUGAAUUUUAGACUCAUUUCUGAACUAGUAGUAGAAGCUAAGUUUUCACAGCCCUCUGGCAAUCCAGCUUCUUUACAAGGGAAUUCAGUUGUCCGGAUGAUAAUAUCACUGCCAAGCUCUCUGUCUUUUUGGAUUGUUUUUGAGAAUUUAGUCGCGUUGAGAGGAGUCGUGAUGAUUGUUGCCUUCACACCAUGCCUGGAAAAUUGCCUGGCCAUGUCUACAAUUAAAUAUGAGUGAUCUGCAAGAAAAGUAAAAUUUCUAAAGUUUAUAUGAUUUUUUUUAUGUCUAGAUGGGAUUGAUUGGCUUAUUUUUCUAGUCGUCAUGUGCAAUUAGUUUCCAAUGUUUUCUUCUUUCUGUCUGGCUGAGGUUUUAUAGAGUACUGUUAGGUUUGAAUUGUUUAAUAUAGUUGACUUGUUGCACAGACUUGAUUGGAUCAAAUUAGACAUUGUAAAAUCAUUUUACCAAACACACCAUUUCCACUCGCAGAAAAUCACGUUGGGAGCGCCAUCCUAAAUGGCCUCUACAAUACGCAAUUCGAAUUUAGUUGAAGCUCCAAUGCAAGCUCCAGACAUCGAACGAUUUUUUUUUAUAAAAAAACUCGUUCCCUCCAUGCACCAAACUAUUUUAAUUUAUCAUAAUUAAGUAUAUAUAUAUACUGGGGGUUUACACAAAUCAUGAUUAUGCUGAAGUAAUAGAAUUUUUUAUAACACGAUGGAAAUUGGAAAAGUUUGAGGGGUUGACAGGUGAGGCGAGGCGUGCACAAGAUUUUUGGAAGAGGCUCCUCUCCAGUGAUGAUCUCUCCAGUUCUCCCCAGUGCUAUUUCAUAUAAUUGACACGUGUCCAUUUAAUUUUUAAUGGACCAGAUUAAUUUUCUUGACCAAAUAUCAUUAACCAUGGUUAUUAGUAAUUCUCUCUCCUUUCAUUCCUUUCUCAACCACCAAAGAAACACUUCUUCCCCCUCCAAAAACUCUCCGAAAAACAGAGCAAUCAAACAAUUGAAAAUUAAAAUUACAUCAAUAUUUUAAUGUUUUACACUUACAUAUGAACAACUAGGGAGAGUCUCAAAAAGAGAAAGACUGAAAUGGAGUGAUUAGACCCCAAUUAAAGAUUACAGUUAUAAAUACCACGAGAAAAGAAGACCCAAAAAAUAAAUGGAAAAUUUCACCAGGAAAAAAAAAGUUUAUGAAAAAAUAUUUUCCUACCCAUUUUUCGUGCCCUUUCCAGAUCCUUUAGUUGGCUUUUGCAGAAACUCCAAAUUGAAAAAAUUAAUGUUACGAAGAAGACAACAAAGUUUUGUGGAUAUGGAUAAUGCCACAUCCUUCAAAUGGAGUAUAUGGGCGAAUGUCAUCGUCUAUUUUUUCCUUGCCCUUAUCACUGGAUCCAAAGGUAUUCACAUAAGGAGACUGCAAAAAUCUUUGAAGGCAUUCUGUUACGUGGAGCUGGAGUCUUUGUAUCAAAAUUGUGUGCAGACUCCUUGACUGGAAGUUGGGUGGGUAGCUGGCUGUCAGAUAGAAAAUCACUAUUGUUGGUUAGCUGUAGAGGAAUGAUUACACUCAGUGGUGCGACAUUAAUUGGCUCGUUUGGAAGUUUGUAGACAAUUGCAUCUAUGACUGCUUCAGUGCUAGAUGAAAUAGAAGCCGAUGUGGUAGAAUCCUACAUGAUAUCAGGGAAUUAUAACAAAAUAUUACAAUUUACAUACGCAACUGUUGACAUUUUUCAGUAAACAAUUUAGAAUCAGACCGAUGUAUCAACAAUUAUUGGAUUUGAAGCAUGUUUUUCGAAGUCUUGUUGAAUUGUAUUAGCAACAUCUUCAUCACCGCUUAAUACUUUUGUGUGUAAUUGGGGGUCUUCAUUUCCUGCAUCCUCCUAAUAAACAGAAUAUUACACAACAUUUUGAUUUUUUUUCAAAAAUAAUUGAUUAUAACAAUUCAAAAACUCUUUACUUACCAGUUCUUUAUUAUGAACAAUCUCUUCUAUCGGAACAUGACUAUGGUGUGCUGUGGGUAUAACAUCUGUUGAAUCUCUCAUUGCAUGUUCCUUAAUGGAUGUCUCAUCAUUCUGUGUUUGUAUAUUAGUAUAUAAGGAAAUAUAUCAUAAAGUAUUUGUUAAUGGUGAUUCAUAAAAAAAAUAUAGUAUCAACUAAGAUUUUAGUGAAUAAUAUACAGUCAAUGAUACACAAAAAGGCAACGUUUAUUUCAUUAUAUGAAUUAAAAUUACUAAAGUAUCAAUCUUAUUAAAUGAUACAUUGUUAAUAAUUUUAAUCGAAUUAACUAAUGAUUAAAAGACAUUAAGUUAUAUAAUUAAAUUGAAGUAUCAAAUACAUACCUUUGCAACAUUUUCUUCGAUAACAUGUCGUUUUUCAACCUCCACAGCAGAUGCAUCAACAUCAUGAUCAACAGUUGCAAAAUCCAUUUGUAUGGGUGAAAUGGUUUGUUGGAAGAAUUGAUCAGAAGUGGAUUGUGGAUCAACAUUACCUUUGUCUACUGAAUCAUCCACUAUAUGUGGCAUAGAAAUGCCACCAUUGUCCUUCAUGUUCCAAAAAAUCAGUAUAACACAAAACUGAAAAGGGAAGCUAAAAAAUAAAAAUACUACCUUAUCACUUUUGUUAUCUUUCGCGCCAACUGCUUUCAUCAACUCAGAAUGAUUUUUUAUUAAUUAACGCCUCAAGAGCUCCAAUUUUUUUGUCAACUUAGAUUCAAAUUAAGCAUAUUAAGUGGAAUUAACAAUAAACAUGAAAAUGUUUAAAUGACAUAAUUAUGUUUACUUACAUUAGACUUCAUGUGACCCUUCAGUUCCUCAAGUCCUGCAUUGUCCGAAAUUGUUCUUCGAAAACUGUAUUAUGAGGAACACCAGAUACAUUAUCGACUUGUGGUGGUUGUGAAUCCGGAGUUUGAAAUGGCUGAUUCGGUUGCUCAUCUGGUUGUGUGGCUUUGGGCACAUUAUUUUUUGUUGGAUGUGCAACCUUUCUUCUCUUGGGGGGGUGGGGUGGAUCCUUGGUAGAAAUUCAUAUGGAUCUCCUUAACAGUUGCUCCGGAGGUUUUGAUGAAAACUCUUCAAAUCCAGGAACCUCAUCUGGUUGCACCUUCUCAUGAUUAACAUUUGAUGUGGAUGGUUGAGUUGGAGGUACAUAACUGUUAUUUGGUAAAUCAAGUGAUCUGAUUUCCUCUUGAGUUGACUGAACGUUAGAACAAUCAUUCUAUAGAAACAAAAAAUAAAACAUCAUGAGAACCAGUUAAAUAAUGUAUCGCAAAUAAAAAAAUAAAGUAAAAAAGGUUGUUAUGUACUAAUUACCUCAGUCAAGAUGUUUUCCAUAAACAUCUUAAAUUUAGGCUUUGAACCCACAACUUUCCAAUUGCAUACCCUUAGUAUACCAUUUCCUUCUUUAACAGCUAUCUCGUUAUGUAUUACAGAUGCACAUUCAUUUACCCAGAUAUUAAGUGCGUAUGGAAAUCCAUUCAAGCGAUACAUUUGUUUGUUAGGUUUGUACUCUUUCCUAAAUGAUUUCAUUAACUUUGUGAAGGCAAGUUGUCCCCACGGAAACUGUUGAUAGCUGUCAUAUUCUAUCAUUAAGAAAUCUUCAAUAGGAAUUGGUGCAUCACCAAGUUGUGAGAAUACAAAGGUAUGAAUGAAAUACAAUAUAGUCAUCUGAAGGGCAAUCAUCAGUGUUGUCCCAACCACCCAUAUCAAAACGAUCUACCAGUUAUUCUUUGUUUACAUUAUAAUUUGGACCAGGAAAGUGUUAGGGUUUUGCCCUGAUUUUCUUAUCAUAAUUUAAAGAUUUAUUUUUCCUUAAAGAAAAACAAAACAUUACCAUAAAUGUUUUUACUUUUCUUGAAAGGAAAAUAUAAUAUUAUUUUAUAUUUGGUUUAUUCUCUCCUUUUAGGACUCCUUUUCUAGUAGGAACGGUUUUAGGACUCUAUAAAUAUAAGUUUGUUUCUUCUAACACAAUAACAAUAACAUCCACAAUGUAGUCGUUUAAGAGUCUUGUUUAUGGGGAGAUUUAUUCUCUCUAAAGUUUCAAUGUUUUUCUUUAUAUUAGUUUUGAUAUAAUAAUAUUUUGAUUUUUAGUAUAAGUUUUUUGUUAGCUGAUUUAUCAACUAUAUGAUUUGCAAAUUGUAAACUUCCGCAUAACGCCCUAAUCACCCUUCAGAACCCAACAGAAAGUAUCUUUUAACCAGCCUACUAGUUUUUGAAUCCGAAUAUGUAAAACCUUUAAUAUUUUCGGUACACUUCAGACCAGUAAUAAUAGCAAAUUCUCUGAUACUAAAUUGCAAUACAUUUCCUUUGGCAUGACGAAUAUGUAUUUCUUUGUCUAAAUUGUCAUGCUCAACCUCUAGAAGAUAUAAACACUUGGUAAUUUGUCCUUGGUAGUGGCACUUGGGGAUAUUAAGGUAUUGGCCAAAUAUAGUAACCUUAAAUAAUUUCAUACCUUCAUCGUUUAUUGACAAUACUAAGUUUUCAUUAAAAUUUGAGUUGUAAAUAGGACCAAACUUUAGGGGUUGCUUUGGAAUAUGUUUAAUUACAUAUUUCAUAUUCUGCAAUUUCAUAAACAUAAAUGAUGUUGAUCAAUCACUAAACCGAUAAAUGAUGCAUACAGAACUAAAAGGGAAAGGCCAUAUAUUGAUUCAAAAUAUUAUGUUUAAGAUCAUUUUAUACUACAUAAUAACAAUACAUGACUAAUACACAAAAUCAUAUAACUUCUGUAUAUACACCGACUUAUAUUUAAAUAUGAUACAAAAUGUUAACUACCAGAUCUAUUAUAUUAUGUUUACGUAUCAUUCAUGUGAAUAUCUAUGAAUAUGAUACAUUGUACAACAAACAACCUACAUAUCAUACUGUGAAUUGAACGCCUAUCUUAGAUACAGUUCUCAACACAAAAAAAUUGACAAAAAAUAGUCUUUCAUCUACAAAUGUAAAAGUUAUACUCAAUACCAACAUUUGAUAAAACAAUCAGUGUUUCUGGGUAACAACUCCAGAUUUCAAUAUAUACAAUAAAACUUUAUUGUUCAACAAUGUCUAAAUUAAAAGCAAAAGAAAUGCAUACCAUGGGUAGUGUUGGUCGAGAAAUGGGUGGGGGCAACCGUUCUAUCCCUCUUCUUUUGAGUUUUUGCACCCUUUGCUUUAGAUGAUGCCCCCACUUCCUUUUUCGAUUUUCUCUUCAUAGAAGUUUGAUUUGCCAUUAAUGCCGGUGCAUGCAAACUUUUAGACCUCUGUUCUGCCCAGUUGGGGUCUCUGAAUCAAAUUUUGAUCAUUGUUAGGUGUUAUUAUUUGGGAAAUCCCAAUAUUAAAAGACGGAUGAUCCAUUUUGACAACUGAUCCAAAAUCGAUUGAAACACAAAAAUUAAUUUUGAAAGAAAAAUGAAAAAGAUGAUAAUACCUAUUUUGAACUUUGGACGGUUGAAUAGAGAUAGAAUCAUUUGAAAAUCAAAUUGCUUUGAAUUCGAUAACUGAUUUGGUAGUGGGGAAAGAUUAGAGGCGAGAUUUUGGGGAUGAGAAAGGUGGGUUUUGGGUUCUUUCAAAAUAACGUAUCCGGAAUAGAGGGUUUGGGGAAAAAUAGGGAUUUUUGAAUUUUUAUGAAAGAGUAGGGAUUAAACGAGAAUAUAUAAACAUAUGUAGUGUAGUUUAGUAAUUUUGCCAAAAAAACAAACGCCUAUUUUGGGAAGGAAGGAGUAAAAUCUUACCAUUUGACAAGUGCCUGCAUUAACAUCACAGACAGGAUAAUCAUGUGGACAGCAAUUGUUGUUGUCAUCACAGCAGGUAGCAGACUCAUAAGGACAACAUCCCCAGCAAAAACAGUAGCCGCCAUACUUAUAAAUGCAGCAGCAAGUAGUGCCCUCGGUGCAGCUAUAGUACUUAUCGCAAACGGUUGAUGGUGCUACAGGAUUAGGAGGAGAUGGACCGGGAUUAGAAGGACUUGCGCCAUUCUUAAGAGUGUAAGAGGGCUCCAUUGCAAUUCCACACUUUCCACUAGUGCUAUUAGCUAAAUUGCGCUCGAGCCUAAUGUAUCCACUUUCCCCCCAGUUAGGACCCCAUGAAUUCCUCACAAUCCAAUAAUCUGAACCAUUAUCUGUUCCGUAACCAACUGCAACUACACCAUGGUCUAGUUGUGUUCCUCAGUAUCCAGUGAAAACAUCUUCAUGAUUUGAAAAGGAAAAGAAAGUGUAAAUGAGUAUGGUAGUUUUUUUUAGUAGAAAAAACAAGGCGUUAGAAGCCGUGAUUGCAGAUUAGGCAUAAACUAGAAUCGUAGGAACUAAUCCAAAACUUAGAGUCAAUGGGUUUAGGUACAGACAAUACUAGACUUGAUCCGACCACAUACUAAAAGGGUACAUUAAGAGAAUUGUUCUCAUACCGAAAAGUAAUGCUGGAAAGCUCUGCCACCAGCAUCAAUAGCAACACUAACUGUUUGAUUUGACAAUGCCUUCAUCAAUGACUUCUCAUCAUUUAUGGGAACAACUUCAUAUCCAUCAAUGGAGACAACCCGGGCAUUUUUCUGAAAGACAAAAUUGUUAGCAGACUAUCAAUACAUGAGUAAUAUUUUGGAUGUUUUCUAGAAAGUAUGGUCUAACAUACCCUGUUUGAAUCACAAGUACCAUAUUUAGCACGGUAGGGAUAGGCAGCCUCAGUGUCAAUGCCACCGUUGUUUUUAAUGAAUUCAAAGGCGUAGUCCAUGAGACCACCAUUACAACCCUGGUUAUAGCUCUUGUCACAAUCAACAAGCUCUUGUUCAGAGAGGGAAAUCAAUUCACCGGUUACAAAUUGAUUUAUUCCUUCAACAGCACCAACCGUCGAGAAUGCCCAGCAACUCCCUUCAUAAGAAAAAUAUACAACUUCAGUAGAUAUACAUACGAUAUCUCACAUGCUUAAUCAACAAAUUUAUGAGCCAAGGUCAAUCGAAAACAAAUUAUGUGUUUUCAAGUCUGUGUAUAUACUAUCCUUUCCAAACCCCAAUUAUAACGGGUUUGCUGUUGACAAAAUAGGUCAAACACAACAUACAAAUCAAAACUUUUGACCUAAAUAAGACUCUUGUCAACACUCCAUUGAAAGUAAUCUUCCUCCAACAGAGAAAAUACAAAAAAACUCACCGCAUUGGCCUUAGUCUUUAACAGGGGCAACAGCGCCUUUCUGUCUCCAUUCAACGGAUUCCGGCAACUCUUCGCCGGACUUAAAAGCGUAACGUUCGCUUUUAGGGUUCUUCAACAGCCUCGUCUUUUUAGCGAACACGGCACAGUACUCAUCGUUGGUAAGAUCAGAAAAUCGAUUCAACCCAAGUUUAUACGGUCUGGUCUCAGCGUUUUGCUCGUCGAUGAAUCUUAAAUUAUCCUUAAAAAUCUCAAAUCGUUUCUCCUUUUCUCCAAUGGCAUUGUAAUUCUUUCCAUGUUUAACAAUCCAAGAUUCAUACAAUCCGUUAACUUGAUCGUCUGUAUGAUGAUUUGUUGUCCCUAAAUCUGCAUGUUUUUCAUCGUAACUGAUGAUGGACAUGUCAAGAGCAGAUGAAAGGACAAAAAAUGUAAGAAGAAAUAAGAACAAAGGCCUGAAAAAAGUCAUAUUUUUUUAUUUUCUUUGUUUUAAUCUUCUUCUUGGUUCCAGAAAUUGAUAUGUUGGUCUCCUAUUACUCCAGAGCAAAUUGUUGCAGAUCCCCCUCCAGCUCAGGAGAAUCACAUUUCUGAGCAGAGCACACCAUCAUAAUUGAAGAAGUCCCAAAGAAGUCUUAUGCUUCAAUUGUCAUGCAUCUAAAGGAAAGUGCUGCAACUUUCUCCCCUCCUCCAGCACCUGCUCCUAGGAAGAUUGUGCCUAAGAAUGUUGAGCAAGUGAGACAACCUCUUGCACCAGUACCAGCUGAUAGCCCUGUUUUAAGCUUAGACUUUGUUGAUAAUGUGAAUAACCAAGAGGGAGAAGCUGAUGGACACUCCAUCUAUAUCAAAGGUCUACCUAUGAGUGCCACCGCCACCAUGCUUGAAGAUGAGUUCAAGAAGUUUGGACCUAUAAAGAAUGGAGGCAUUCAAGUCCGAAGUAACAGACAACAGGGAUUUUGUUUUGGCUUUGUGGAAUUUUAGGUGGAAAUUGCUGUGCAAAAAGCAAUUGAGGCUUCUCCAAUUUUAAUUGGUGGACGCCAAGCUGCCGUUGAAGAGAAGAAGUCUACCAGUUCUCGAGGUAACACUAGGGAUUCAGGAAUGAUGGAGUACGUGGGCGAGGAAACUACAAUGGAAGUUGGAGGGGCUAUAAUCGCGGUGAUUUCAAUGGAAGAAGUGAGUUCAACAACAGAGGAGGGUCAUCCAACCGUGGAGGUGGUGAUGGCUAUCAGCGAAGUGACAACAAUGGGCGAAUGAAUCGUGGUGGUGGUGGUAUGGCAAAUGGAACUGCCAAAAAUAUGACACCACGGAUUUCAGCUACAGCUUGAGGAGAAGUAGUUUUGGGCAAAUAAGUGAAGCUAAUUUAGUAGUAAUUCUUUUUUAAUUUGAAAUGGUUGGAUGUGGGCAGUUAGGAAGUUUUGUCACUCUUGCUGCAUAUUGUGCCUUUCCCUAAUUCUUGACGUUAAUCGGUAUAGAGGUUGGAGUAGCUUCUGUUUUUGUAGCAAAAAUAAAUAAAUUGUGAUUAAUGAGUAAAAAUGAUUUUAAAUAUUGUGAUUAAUGGUGGAAAUGUAAAGAGAAAAUAUAUGAAUUUGAGGAUAUUUGGGGUGUGUGUCUAAAUACAUAGAAUUCAUCUCCGUUGAAAUAGGGAAAAUACAAGUUUCGUGCUAUUCGUGAAUUGUGUGAACCUUUUAAAUUAUGAAAAUCUUGACCAUUCUUAAUGUUGUUUGAAUUGUAAUUUGUAAUUAUCCAAAAGUUAAUUUCUUUUAUGAUAUUUUUCAUUUUAUAAGCAAGUACUUGUUUUGCUUUCAAAUUCAAAUCAGUUUUGCACGGUUUUCGAGUAGCUUAUACGAUUAUCUUUCCCUGUUUUCAAUUUCUUUGGUUAAUUGAUGAUUUUACACGUCCAACCUACUAUCGAGAAUUUAAAUUUAAUGAAUUAUAGGUAUAUGAUCUAAUAGAAAUAAAAAUAAUAAUAGUAUACUCAUUGUAAUUUUAUAAAAUAAAAAAAAAGAAUAUUGAGGGUGUAAAGACUUUGCCGUUGUUCCCUUUUCUUCUAGUGCACGUAUUCCUUUCAUAGUUGAACUGUCUCAACUCACUCUUUUUCCUUUUGUAUACUUAUUUUUUAAGUUCAUAUGCAUUUUUAGUAUGUUAUGAUCCUUUUUAUUCAAGAGUUUCCAGAAAAGUAUUUACCUUCCAUUCAAGUUAGUAGUAAAACAUAUGUAUGAUUAAUGUAAAACACAAGGUGCCAAUAGGUAUUUACCAAACAUUCAAUUACUUAACAUCUCUCUUUUUAUUGAAUUAUCCUGUUUGACACAACUUAAUGGAAUAAUAUAAUAAUAUUCUACACAAUUUUUUUUAAGGUUUAUUUAACGAUUAUAACAUUAAUGAUAUAAUUUGAUGCCACCAAUAAGCAUUUGGUAUGAUAUUUUUGCAACAAUCAUAGAACUGGUCUAUGGACUAUGCAUAAGAACUCCUGCAUACUGAUAAAAGUGUAAUUUGGUAUACAUAAUUUGAAAUUGAUGUAAACGCGAAGAUACAAUAUUUCUGUAGUGGUUUAGUUUCAGCAACAUAUGAAGAAAUUCCCAUCAGUUAGAGGUAAUUUUCGCGUUCCUCAAUUGUUCUAGUAAGGAAAUCAAACUGUUGUGAGAUGAUCCACCUUUCUCCACAGCCCUUUUAGCCAAUUCUCCUAAGGCAGCUGCACGGCCUCGCAUCUCCUCAGCUUCCUGACCAACCAUCACUUUGGUCACUGCUCUUUCUAUGUCUUUCCUGUUUAUUGGGACUGUGCUAUCUGUUCUAUUAGACCAAGCCUCAGAACCUACUGGAACUCCAAUCUUUAAUAUCUCUACUAGUAGCUUUUCAUUAAAAAAUUGCUCAGCUGAUAGCGGCCAUGUGAUCAUUGGCACUCCGGCACUUACUCCUUCGAGCAAUGAGUUCCAUCCACAGUGAGUCACAAAACCUCCAAUAGCUUCAUGAUCAAGGAUUAGCACCUGAGGUGCCCAUCCUUUUAUUAUCAAACCUCGUCCGUUCACGUUCAGCUUUUCCUCAAAUCCUUCUGGUAUCCACUCAUUCUGCUCUUCGUUGAUUGUAUUCUGCGUCACCGCCCAGAUAAACUGCUGGUUUGAUGCUUCGAGAGCUAUUGCUAUCUCAAGCAACUGAGCUGAUGAAAAGACUGCCAUACUGCCGAAACAUAUGUAAAUGACUGAUUUUGGUUCCUUAGUAUCGAGCCAAUCCAAACACUUUUGCUCACAAAAGGAACUGUCUUGCCCUCUUUGUGAUUUAUCUUCAUUGCAGAGCGAAAUAGGACCAACGUGCCAUACUUUUCUCCCUACUACUUCCCUGGAGUGUUUUACAUAAUUUGGUUCCAUCUCAUAAAAGCUGUUUACAAUAACUCCAUAACUAGUCGUUUCUGCUCGCAUAAUAGCUUUAACUAUUGCAGUCACUGGGGUAUCUUUUUCAUCCAUCAAGUGUUCUGAAAGCUUUUGUCUUGACAUCUUUAUUGUGUCAGGAAGGCCAGGGAUGACAAACUCUUCCAUCUCGGAUUCAACAUUCAAAUGAGGUUUGUGUUCCAUCAAACUAUGUAAAGCACAAAGAGGGAAAAAACCAGAGCCAUUAAAAGCUAGUGUUGGAAUUUCCAGCUUGGUUGCAACAUCAACAGCCCAUGAAAAUUGAGGGGCUGCUAUUAGACAAUCUGGAUGGUCUUCCUCAAGGAACUGUUCAAUUGGGUUUUGAAACAGCGAUAGGCCCAUGAUGAAAUUCAGAUACAUCAGUGUACUAGUAGUAGAAGCUAUGUUUUCACAGCCCUCCGGCAAUCCAGCUUCUUUGCAAGGAAACUUGACUGUACGGAUGCUAAUAUCACUGCCCAUCUCUCUGUCUCUUUGGAUUGUUUUGGAGAAUUUAGACGCGUUGAGAGGAGUCGUGAUAAUGGUUGCCUUCACUCCAUGUCUAGCAAAUUGCCUGGCUAUAUCUACUAGUGGUAUCAUGUGGCCAGGAGCCAUCAUAGGCAGAAAGUAUAUGUGAAGUUGAUCGCUUCUUUUAUCCAUGGUAGCCAGGGAAUAGAUAAGAAAAAACAGCUGAUGAACUAAAAAAGAACAGGAGAUAAAAGAAAGUAGAAGGUGUUGUAUAUCUAUUCGUCUUUGCUCGUCAUGGUUUUAUAGAUAAACAAGGAUUCUGAUUUUGCUAAUGACUUCAUGGGGAGCAUUACUUUUCUAUGGUAUACAAGGUGCCAUUGCUGACUUUUUGUACUUUGAAAAAUUCUAAUUUGAGUUCAAGACAAGUUAACUAGACCUGUUGUUAUCAUUGCUGACUCUUUCCUACAAUUAAAUAUGAGUGAUGUGCAAGAAAAGUAAAAAUUCUGUAGUUUAUAUGAUUUUUUUAUGUCUAGAUGGGAUUGAUCUUUGGCUUAUUUUUCUUCUUUCUGUCUGAUUGAGGUUUUAGAGAGUGAUGGGUUUGAAUUGUUUAUUAAAACUUGGACAGAUGUAUAGUUGACUUGAUUGGAUCAAAUUAGACACUGUAAAAUACUAUAGUUGUACAGACUUUUUGUACAUUGAUUGAUCUUUGGCUUAUUUUUCUAGUCGUCAGGUGCAAUCAGUUUCCAGUGAUUUCUUCUUUC